ACGCUGGCGGCAUGCCUAACACAUGCCAGUCGAUCGGUAAGGCUCUUCGGAGUACACGAGAGGCGGACGGCUGAGUAACGCGUAGGAACACACCCUGCAGUGAGGGAUAAGACACCGAAAGGUGUUCUAAUACCGCAUACGGUCUUCGGAUUAAAGCAUUUAUGCGCUGAAGGAGUGGCCUGCGUCAUAUUAGAUAGUUGGUGAGGUAAUGGCUCACCAAGUCGAUGAUGUGUAGCUGGUCUGAGAGGAUGAUCAGCCAGACUGGAACUGAGACACGGUCCAGACUCCUACGGGAGGCAGCAGUGAGGAAUAUUUCACAAUGAGCGAAAGCUUGAUGGAGCAAUGCCGCGUGCAGGAUGAAGGCCCUCGGGUUGUAAACUGCUUUUAUAAGAGAAGAUUAUGACGGUAACUUAUGAAUAAGGGACGGCUAACUACGUG
rnacentral:rRNA from 1 species